AUGGAACUGUUACCAUUUCAUGCUGAUGUGGAGGUUGGCCAGAUUAUAGAAAUCCCCAUUGCAAUGUAUCACAUAAAUAAAGAGACCAAAGAAGCCAUGGCAUUCACAGACUGCUCUCAUUUAUCCUUGGAUCUGAACAUGGAUAAACAAGGAGUCUUUACUCUUCUCAAAGAAGGUAUUCAAAGACCUGGACCAAUGCAUUGUUCCAGUACACAUAUUGCAGCUAAAUCUCUCGGCCAUACUCUGGUAACAGUAAGUGUGAGUGAAUGUGACAAGUACUUGGAGAGCAGUGCUACAUUUGCUGCUUAUGAACCCCUAAAGGCUCUCACAUUCCGAAUUGGAAACCAUCCAGGUGUCCUGAACCCUAGUCCAGCUGUAGAGGUUUUGCAGGUUCGCUUCAUAUGUGCCCACCCUGCCAGUAUGUCAGUAACUCCAGUAUACAAGGUGCGAGCUGGUGCCCAGCCAUGUCCCCUGCCACAGCACAACAAACAGCUGGUAAGUACAGAGUAUGUUUCCAACUAAGUUGGCACUUUUAUCUUCCAUGCUUUAGAGAUAGUCUGGAAUUCUUUGGGGUAUAUAUCCAGAAGUGGAAUUGGCAGAUCAUAUGGUAAUUCUAUUUUUAAUUUUUUGAGGAACCACCAUACAGUUUUCCACAGCAGCUGUACUAUCUUACAUUCUUACCAACA
rnacentral:lncRNA from 1 species